AAGAGAGUGCAAGAGAACGUGAAACCGGUAUAAUGGAAGCAUAUGGAGUUGACGUAUCUGGUGCGUAUUCAGUUGUCGGGCGCGGCGAUUGCCGGCGUUGUCAUUCCGCAAGGUUGGCGCGUUGGUAUUGUUGUUGUGUUCGGCGAUGCAUUUACGUACGGAGUGCGCCGGGUCGUGCGCUGUCGCCUAUCUAAGCCAUGCGCAGAGGACGUUGCCUUCGGGUUGGCGAAACCUGCGCGGGUGGAGGUUGGUUGCCGGUGCGCGGCUUUGUGGUUGAGCGGGUGAAUUCGUGCGGUUGCGCGUCGAUGGUGCCGGUUUGUGGUUGUACGCAUGCGUGCGGCUCUUACGGGUGUUGUCGGCGAGCGGCCGUGCUCUGUCUCUCUUCCCGGUGUUCAGUCAAUGACCCAUUUGACCCGUCUUGAAACACGGACCAAGGAGUUUAUGGUAUACGCGAGUCAUUGGGCUUACGAAACCCAAAGGCGUAAUGAAAGUGAGAUCUUAUUGGUAUCGAAUGUGAGCGGUGUCGGUUUCGACGGGCGCCGUGCAACAUUGCCCCGUUCCGAGGACUUGUCCUGUUGCGGAGGUUGAGCGUAUGCUAUGAGACCCGAAAGAUGGUGAACUAUGCCUGAACAGGAUGAAGCCAGAGGAAACUCUGGUGGAAGUCCGAAGCGGUUCUGACGUGCAAAUCGAUCGUCUGAUUUUGGUAUAGGGGCGCAAGACUAAUCGAACCAUCUA
rnacentral:rRNA from 1 species